rnacentral:rRNA from 1 species
AGAGCGAACGCUGGCGGCAGGCCUAACACAUGCAAGUCGAGCGCCCGUAGCAAUACGGGAGCGGCAGACGGGAUAGUAACACGUGGGAACGCGCCCUUCGGUUCGGAAUAACUCAGGGAAACUUGAGCUAAUACCGAAUACGCCCUUACGGGGAAAGAUUUAUUGCCGAAGGAACGGCCCGCGUCCGAUUAGCUAGUUGGUGAGGUAAUGGCUCACCAAGGCUACGAUCGGUAGCUGGUCUGAGAGGAUGACCAGCAUCACUGGGACUGAGACACGGCCCAGACUCCUACGGGAGGCAGCAGUGGGGAAUAUGGACAAUGGCGCAAGCCUGAUCCAGCCAUGCCGCGUGGAUGAUGAAGGCCUUAGGGUUGUAAAGUCUUUAACGGGGAAGAUAAUGACGGUACCGUAGAAUAAGCCCGGCUAACGUUCGUGCCAGCAGCCGC